rnacentral:rRNA from 1 species
GACGUAGGGCGCGAGCGUUGUCCGGAUUUAUUGGGCGUAAAGAGCUCGUAGGCGGCUUGUCGCGUCGACCGUGAAAACUUGGGGCUCAACCCCAAGCCUGCGGUCGAUACGGGCAGGCUAGAGUUCGGUAGGGGAGACUGGAACUCCUGGUGUAGCAGUGAAAUGCGUAGAUAUCAGGAGGAAUACCGAUGGCGAAGGCAGGUCUCUGGGCUGACACUGACGCUCAUGCACGAAAGCGUGGGGAGCAAACAGG